UUCUUGUGUCGUCUGUUUGGCGCUAUAGUACUUCAGCCAUUUAAUGAUGCUCUCUCCACACUGGGAUAAAUAAAAACAAACACAUCACAUCUAAUGUGGACAUAUCAGAUGCCUUGUGAAACAUAAAGGAACAAUUCAGUUUCGAGCUAUGGCACUUGCCGCAUAGAUGUGGGGGGGCCUUGCACCAAUAGUGAUAGUUACCACUGCAUUUAGAAAUUGAAAGCAUUUGUGCAGACAAGGAUGAUUCUUUAUAUUUUUGGCUACCACUUCAAAUGCCUCCACCAAGUGUUACAAUGCUGCACGCAGCCAUACUAAGGAUCUCGCAACAACACCUGCAGGUAAAAAGCAGAAGCAGUCAAAGUGCUGGUGUGUUCUGGACACUAUGUUUGAAAACUUUUAGGCAAGAAGAGUGCAAGAAGCAGACAUAACUGCAUUUAUUUCCAUAAUUCCCCAUUUAAAUGGCCUUUUCUUUUUGCUUAGACAAUGCCUACGCCUAGCCACAGCAGCUCCCUCAUACAGACUCCGCAAACCAAGAGGCCGUGGAGGCAAAUGCAGGCAGCCAGCACACCUCGAACAGCCACCUUGACUGCGGGUGUGUCACCCUAGUCGCCAAGGAAACAUUUGAGGGAAAGUGACAGGCAAUGUGAACAGCCACUCCUCCAUGUAAACAAUACUCUUUCUCUCGGAUGACUCCUACGCCUCACCACGCCAGCACACUUGUGCACAAAGAUGCCGCAGAGGCACGUGCAGGUCAGAGGCAAGAAGCAGUGGCACUGGUGUCGACAUUUACCCAAUUUCUUUUUCUUACACUGAGGCAGCCAGCACACCUCGAACAGCCACCUCGACUGCGGGUGUGUUAGUUGAUCCCUGUUGUACAUAUGCUCAUAAUAAACUUCAGUAAACUUGAACUUCAUAAUAAACUUGAAGGCAAAUGGUA